rnacentral:rRNA from 1 species
CUAAUCUGCGAUAAGCGUCGGUAAGGUGAUAUGAACCGUUAUAACCGGCGAUUUCCGAAUGGGGAAACCCAGUGUGUUUCGUCACACUAUCAUUAACUGAAUCCAUAGGUUAAUGAGGCGAACCGGGGGAACUGAAACAUCUAAGUACCCCGAGGAAAAGAAAUCAACCGAGAUUCCCCCAGUAGCGGCGAGCGAACGGGGAGCAGCCCAGAGCCUGAAUCAGUGUGUGUGUUAGUGGAAGCGUCUGGAAAGGCGCGCGAUACAGGGUGACAGCCCCGUACACAAAAAUGCACAUGCUGUGAGCUCGAUGAGUAGGGCGGGACACGUGGUAUCCUGUCUGAAUAUGGGGGGACCAUCCUCCAAGGCUAAAUACUCCUGACUGACCGAUAGUGAACCAGUACCGUGAGGGAAAGGCGAAAAGAACCCCGGCGAGGGGAGUGAAAAAGAACCUGAAACCGUGUACGUACAAGCAGUGGGAGCACGCUUAGGCGUGUGACUGCGUACCUUUUGUAUAAUGGGUCAGCGACUUAUAUUCUGUAGCAAGGUUAACCGAAUAGGGGAGCCGAAGGGAAACCGAGUCUUAACUGGGCGUUAAGUUGCAGGGUAUAGACCCGAAACCCGGUGAUCUAGCCAUGGGCAGGUUGAAGGUUGGGUAACACUAACUGGAGGACCGAACCGACUAAUGUUGAAAAAUUAGCGGAUGACUUGUGGCUGGGGGUGAAAGGCCAAUCAAACCGGGAGAUAGCUGGUUCUCCCCGAAAGCUAUUUAGGUAGCGCCUCGUGAAUUCAUCUCCGGGGGUAGAGCACUGUUUCGGCAAGGGGGUCAUCCCGACUUACCAACCCGAUGCAAACUGCGAAUACCGGAGAAUGUUAUCACGGGAGACACACGGCGGGUGCUAACGUCCGUCGUGAAGAGGGAAACAACCCAGACCGCCAGCUAAGGUCCCAAAGUCAUGGUUAAGUGGGAAACGAUGUGGGAAGGCCCAGACAGCCAGGAUGUUGGCUUAGAAGCAGCCAUCAUUUAAAGAAAGCGUAAUAGCUCACUGGUCGAGUCGGCCUGCGCGGAAGAUGUAACGGGGCUAAACCAUGCACCGAAGCUGCGGCAGCGACGCUUAUGCGUUGUUGGGUAGGGGAGCGUUCUGUAAGCCUGUGAAGGUGUACUGUGAGGUAUGCUGGAGGUAUCAGAAGUGCGAAUGCUGACAUAAGUAACGAUAAAGCGGGUGAAAAGCCCGCUCGCCGGAAGACCAAGGGUUCCUGUCCAACGUUAAUCGGGGCAGGGUGAGUCGACCCCUAAGGCGAGGCCGAAAGGCGUAGUCGAUGGGAAACAGGUUAAUAUUCCUGUACUUGGUGUUACUGCGAAGGGGGGACGGAGAAGGCUAUGUUGGCCGGGCGACGGUUGUCCCGGUUUAAGCGUGUAGGCUGGUUUUCCAGGCAAAUCCGGAAAAUCAAGGCUGAGGCGUGAUGACGAGGCACUACGGUGCUGAAGCAACAAAUGCCCUGCUUCCAGGAAAAGCCUCUAAGCAUCAGGUAACAUCAAAUCGUACCCCAAACCGACACAGGUGGUCAGGUAGAGAAUACCAAGGCGCUUGAGAGAACUCGGGUGAAGGAACUAGGCAAAAUGGUGCCGUAACUUCGGGAGAAGGCACGCUGAUAUGUAGGUGAAGUCCCUCGCGGAUGGAGCUGAAAUCAGUCGAAGAUACCAGCUGGCUGCAACUGUUUAUUAAAAACACAGCACUGUGCAAACACGAAAGUGGACGUAUACGGUGUGACGCCUGCCCGGUGCCGGAAGGUUAAUUGAUGGGGUCAGCGCAAGCGAAGCUCUUGAUCGAAGCCCCGGUAAACGGCGGCCGUAACUAUAACGGUCCUAAGGUAGCGAAAUUCCUUGUCGGGUAAGUUCCGACCUGCACGAAUGGCGUAAUGAUGGCCAGGCUGUCUCCACCCGAGACUCAGUGAAAUUGAACUCGCUGUGAAGAUGCAGUGUACCCGCGGCAAGACGGAAAGACCCCGUGAACCUUUACUAUAGCUUGACACUGAACAUUGAGCCUUGAUGUGUAGGAUAGGUGGGAGGCUUUGAAGUGUGGACGCCAGUCUGCAUGGAGCCGACCUUGAAAUACCACCCUUUAAUGUUUGAUGUUCUAACGUUGACCCGUAAUCCGGGUUGCGGACAGUGUCUGGUGGGUAGUUUGACUGGGGCGGUCUCCUCCUAAAGAGUAACGGAGGAGCACGAAGGUUGGCUAAUCCUGGUCGGACAUCAGGAGGUUAGUGCAAUGGCAUAAGCCAGCUUGACUGCGAGCGUGACGGCGCGAGCAGGUGCGAAAGCAGGUCAUAGUGAUCCGGUGGUUCUGAAUGGAAGGGCCAUCGCUCAACGGAUAAAAGGUACUCCGGGGAUAACAGGCUGAUACCGCCCAAGAGUUCAUAUCGACGGCGGUGUUUGGCACCUCGAUGUCGGCUCAUCACAUCCUGGGGCUGAAGUAGGUCCCAAGGGUAUGGCUGUUCGCCAUUUAAAGUGGUACGCGAGCUGGGUUUAGAACGUCGUGAGACAGUUCGGUCCCUAUCUGCCGUGGGCGCUGGAGAACUGAGGGGGGCUGCUCCUAGUACGAGAGGACCGGAGUGGACGCAUCACUGGUGUUCGGGUUGUCAUGCCAAUGGCACUGCCCGGUAGCUAAAUGCGGAAGAGAUAAGUGCUGAAAGCAUCUAAGCACGAAACUUGCCCCGAGAUGAGUUCUCCCUGACUCCUUGAGAGUCCUGAAGGAACGUUGAAGACGACGACGUUGAUAGGCCGGGUGUGUAAGCGCAGCGAUGCGUUGAGCUAACCGGUACUAAUGAACCGUGAGGCUUAACCU